rnacentral:rRNA from 1 species
GAUGAACGCUAGCUACAGGCUUAACACAUGCAAGUCGAGGGGCAGCAUGAACUUAGCUUGCUAAGUUUGAUGGCGACCGGCGCACGGGUGAGUAACACGUAUCCAACCUGCCGAUGACUCGGGGAUAGCCUUUCGAAAGAAAGAUUAAUACCCGAUGGCAUAGUUCUUCCGCAUGGUAGAACUAUUAAAGAAUUUCGGUCAUCGAUGGGGAUGCGUUCCAUUAGGUUGUUGGCGGGGUAACGGCCCACCAAGCCUUCGAUGGAUAGGGGUUCUGAGAGGAAGGUCCCCCACAUUGGAACUGAGACACGGUCCAAACUCCUACGGGAGGCAGCAGUGAGGAAUAUUGGUCAAUGGACGAGAGUCUGAACCAGCCAAGUAGCGUGAAGGAUGACUGCCCUAGGGGUUGUAAACUUCUUUUAUACGGGAAUAAAGUGAGGCACGUGUGCCUUUUUGUAUGUACCGUAUGAAUAAGGAUCGGCUAACUCCGUG